UACGAAGGGGGCUGGCGUUGCUCGGAAUCACUGGGCGUAAAGCGCACGUAGGCGGCUUUUUAAGUCCGGGGUGAAAUCCUGGAGCUCAACUCCAGAACUGCCUUUGAUACUGAGGAUCUUGAGUACGGGAGAGGUGAGUGGAACUGCGAGUGUAGAGGUGAAAUUCGUAGAUAUUCGCAAGAACACCAGUGGCGAAGGCGGCUCACUGGCCCGUUACUGACGCUGAGGCACGAAAGCGUGGGGAGCAAAAGGG
rnacentral:rRNA from 1 species